rnacentral:rRNA from 1 species
UGGGGAAUCUUCCGCAAUGGACGAAAGUCUGACGGAGCAACGCCGCGUGGGUGACGAAGGUUUUCGGAUCGUAAAACCCUGUCAAGAAGGAAGAAAAAAGACGGUACUUCUGAAGGAAGCCCCGGCUAACUACGUGCCAGCAGCCGCGGUAAUACGUAGGGGGCAAGCGUUGUCCGGAAUUACUGGGCGUAAAGAGCACGUAGGCGGUAACCUAAGUCAGAUGUGAAAGACCAGGGCUUAACUUCCGAACGGCAUUGGAUACUGCUUUGCUAGAGCAAUGGAGGGGAAACCGGAAUUCUCGGUGUAGCAGUGAAAUGCGUAGAUAUCGAGAGGAACACUCGUGGCGAAGGCGGGUUUCUGGACAUUAGCUGACGCUGAGGUACGAAGGCCAGGGUAGCGAAAG